GACGAACGCUGGCGGCGUGCUUAGCACAUGCAAGUCGAACGGUAAGGCCCUUCGGGGUACACGAGUGGCGAACGGGUGAGUAACACGUGGGUGAUCUGCCCUGCACUUCGGGAUAAGCCUGGGAAACUGGGUCUAAUACCGGAUAGGACCCUGGGAUGCAUGUCCUGGGGUGGAAAGCUUUUGCGGUGUGGGAUGGGCCCGCGGCCUAUCAGCUUGUUGGUGGGGUGAUGGCCUACCAAGGCGACGACGGGUAGCCGGCCUGAGAGGGUGACCGGCCAGACUGGGACGGAGAUACGGCCCAGACUCCUACGGGAGGCAGCAGUGGGGAAUAUUGCACAAUGGGCGCAAGCCUGAUGCAGCGACGCCGCGUGAGGGAUGACGGCCUUCGGGUUGUAAACCUCUUUCAGCACCGACGAAGCGCAAGUGACGGUAGGUGCAGAAGAAGGACCGGCCAACUACGUGCCAGCAGCCGCCGUAA
rnacentral:rRNA from 1 species